AUUGAACGCUGGCGGCAUGCCUUACACAUGCAAGUCGAACGGUAACAGGUUAAGCUGCCGAGUGGCGAACGGGUGAGUAAUGUAUCGGAACGUGCCCAGUCGCGGGGGAUAACUGCUCGAAAGAGCAGCUAAUACCGCAUACGACCUGAGGGUGAAAGCGGGGGAUCGCAAGACCUCGCGCGAUUGGAGCGGCCGAUAUCAGAUUAGGUAGUUGGUGAGGUAAAGGCUCACCAAGCCGACGAUCUGUAGCUGGUCUGAGAGGACGACCAGCCACACUGGGACUGAGACACGGCCCAGACUCCUACGGGAGGCAGCAGUGGGGAAUUUUGGACAAUGGGCGCAAGCCUGAUCCAGCCAUGCCGCGUGCGGGAAGAAGGCCUUCGGGUUGUAAACCGCUUUUGUCAGGGAAGAAAAGGUUCUGGCUAAUACCUGGGACUCAUGACGGUACCUGAAGAAUAAGCACCGGCUAACUACGUG
rnacentral:rRNA from 1 species